GGGUGGUUUUUUACUCGUAUCCUGUAGCUCAGUACGGCGAGUGAGCGGCAAAGCUCAAAUUUGAAAUCUAGCACCUUCGGUGUUCGAGUUGUAAUUUGAAGAUGGUAACCUUGGGUUUGGCUCUUGUCUAUGUUCCUUGGAACAGGACGUCAUAGAGGGUGAGAAUCCCGUCUGAUGAGAUGCCCAUUCCUAUGUAAGGUGCUAUCGAAGAGUCGAGUUGUUUGGGAAUGCAGCUCUAAGUGGGUGGUAAAUUCCAUCUAAAGCUAAAUAUUGGCGAGAGACCGAUAGCGAACAAGUACAGUGAUGGAAAGAUGAAAAGAACUUUGAAAAGAGAGUGAAAAAGUACGUGAAAUUGUUGAAAGGGAAGGGCAUUAGAUCAGACUUGGUGUUUUACGAUUAUCUUCUCUUCUUGAGUUGUGCACUCGUAUUUCACUGGGCCAGCAUCGAUUCGGAUGGCAAGAUAAUGGCAGUUGAAUGUGGCUUCACUUCGGUGGAGUGUUAUAGCUUCUGCUGAUAUUGCCUGUCUGGAUCGAGGGCUGCGUCUUUUGACUAGGAUGCUGGCGUAAUGAUCUAAUGCCGCCCGUCUUGAAACACGGACACAAACU
rnacentral:rRNA from 1 species